AAUGAACGUUGGCGGCGUGGAUUAGGCAUGCAAGUCGAACGAAUCCCACUUGGGUAACUGAGUGGGGGAAGUGGCGAAAGGGGCAGUAAGGCAUGGGUAACCUACCCUGGAGUUGGGCAUAGCCGUCCUAACGGACGGGUAAUUCCCGAUGGCCUAGCGAGGGGACAUCUUCUUGCUAGUAAAGAGUUUCGCUCUGGGAGGGGCCCAUGUGCUAUUAGCUAGUUGGUGGGGUAACGGCCCACCAAGGCUAAGAUGGCUAGCGGGUGUGAGAGCACGACCCGCGCCACUGGCACUGAGACACUGGCCAGACACCUACGGGUGGCUGCAGUCGAGGAUCUUCGUCAAUGGGCGAAAGCCUGAACGAGCGACGCCGCGUGCGCGAUGAAGGCCUUCGGGUUGUAAAGCGCGAAAGUGGGGACGAAAGCCGAAAGGUUUGACCGAUCCACAGUAAGCUCGGGCUAAGUUCGUGCCAGCAGCCGCGGUAA
rnacentral:rRNA from 1 species